AAAUUGAAGAGUUUGAUCAUGGCUCAGAUUGAACGCUGGCGGCAGGCCUAACACAUGCAAGUCGAACGGUAACAGGAA
rnacentral:rRNA from 24 species